rnacentral:rRNA from 1 species
UGCCAGCAGCCGCGGUAAUACGGAGGGUGCAAGCGUUGUCCGGAUUCACUGGGUGUAAAGGGUGUGUAGGCGGGGUUGUAAGUCAGAGGUGAAAUCCUACAGCUUAACUGUAGAACUGCCUUUGAUACUGCAACUCUUGAAUCUCGGAGGGGUUGUCGGAAUUCGUGGUGUAGCGGUGAAAUGCGUAGAUAUCACGAGGAACACCAGAGGCGUAGGCGGGCAACUGGACGAGUAUUGACGCUGAGGCACGAAAGCGUGGGGAGCAAACAGGAUUAGAUA